rnacentral:snRNA from 1 species
GGAUGUGAGGGCGAUCUGGCUGCGACAUCUGUCACCCCAUUGAUCACCAGGGUUGAUUCGGCUGAUCUGGCCGGCUAGGCGGGUGUCCCCUUCCUCCCUCACCGCUCCAUGUGCGUCCCUCCCGAAGCUGCGCGCUCGGUAGAAGAGGACGACUUUCCCUGAUAGAGGAGGACCGUUCUUGGGUCAAGGGUAUACGAGUAGCUGCGCUCCCCUGCUAGAACCUCCAAACAAGCUCUCAAGGUCCAUUUGUAGGAGAACGUAGGGUAGUCAAGCUUCCAAGACUCCAGACACAUCCAAAUGAGGCGCUGCACGUGGCAGUCUGCCUUUCUAA